rnacentral:rRNA from 1 species
UACGUAGGGCGCAAGCGUUGUCCGGAAUUAUUGGGCGUAAAGAGCUCGUAGGUGGUUUGUCGCGUCUGCCGUGAAAGCCCGGGGCUUAACUCCGGGUCUGCGGUGGAUACGGGCAGACUAGGGGCAGGUAGGGGAGAACGGAAUUCCCGGUGUAGCGGUGAAAUGCGCAGAUAUCGGGAGGAACACCCAGGGGGAAACCAGCCGACUGGGCAUCUGCUGACGCUGAGGUGCGAGAGCGUGGGGAGCGAACCGG